rnacentral:rRNA from 1 species
UACGUAGGGACCAAGCGUUGUUCGGAUUUACUGGGCGUAAAGGGCGCGUAGGCGGCAAUUCAAGUCAGCUGUGAAAUCUCCGGGCUUAACUCGGAACGGUCAGCUGAUACUGCUUUGCUAGAGUGCAGAAGGGGCAAUCGGAAUUCUUGGUGUAGCGGUGAAAUGCGUAGAUAUCAAGAGGAAUACCUGAGGUGAAGACGGGUUGCUGGGCUGACACUGACGCUGAGGCGCGAAAGCUAGGGUAGCAAACGGG